ensembl:lncRNA
CAACAGUACAGUACAAGUGAAAUCCUGACAAGCGAGUUAGGUUUUAAAGCAGCCAGAGUAUCCCUGUUUUUUUUGUUUUGUUUUUUAGAUCUUUUUUUUUUCAGAAUUUUUUUUUCAGGCUAGAUGGAUGAGGAAGGAUGGAGUGGGAGGUGAAGGAAGGUGUUCUUACAGGUGUCUAGUCUCAGGCACGUUGAUGUUGACGUCCUGGAUAGUCUCCUUUUUCUUCUCUUCUCUCUCCUAUGUCUUUGUCUCCUUGUCCUGGAGCUCGUGCCUCAUUUCGUCCAUCUCCGUCUGCCGGUCUUUUUUUUUUUUUUUUUUUUCAGAAUUUUUUUUUUCAGGGUAGAUGGAUGAGGUAGGAUGGAGUGGGAGGUGAAGGAAGGUGUUCUUACAGAUGUCUAGUCUCAGGCACGUUGAUGUUGACGUCCUGGAUAGUCUCCUUUUUCUUCUCUUCUCUCUCCUAUGUCUUUGUCUCCUUGUCCUGGAGCUUGUGCCUCAUUUCGUCCAUCUCCGUCUGCCGGUCCUUUUUUUUUUUUCUUUUCAGAAUAUUUUUUUCAGGGUAGAUGGAUGAGGUAGGAUGGAGUGGGAGGUGAAGGAAGGUGUUCUUACAGGUGUCUAGUCUCAGGCACGUUGAUGUUGACGUCCUGGAUAGUCUCCUUUUUCUUCUCUUCUCUCUCCUAUGUCUUUGUCUCCUUGUCCUGGAGCUUGUGCCUCAUUUCGUCCAUCUCCGUCUGCCGGUCCUUUUUUUUUAAGUACAGGCAGAUGUUUUCAAGGACUGUUUUGUUGUCCUCUAAUUCUGGGAUCCUGGUGAUACGGAUCUAAUGUUCUUUGGGGAUGGUAUCCUCUGUUUGUUGGAUCUUAGAGAUCAGGCACAAUACAGUGAACCCACUGCUUGUGACCAUCUCGUUGUGGAUAUCCUCUUGGCUCUUUUUCAAAUUCAAAGAUUUUAUUGUCAAAUAUACCCCCCUUGUGUAUUGAAAUUCUUAUGCUUGCCUUUUAUGGACAGCCGACCAAUUUUAAAAUAAAAAAAAUAAAAUGUACAUGAAAUAAAAAUGAGGCAAAAAUGAGGUAAGGGGAAAUGUGCAAAACUGAGCAGGUUGUAAAAAAAAAUGAAAUGAAAUGGGUGAAAUAUAAAUUAACAGUACAGUUAAUUAAAGCCGACCAAUUAAAAAAAAAAAGAUUUUCUUUUUUUAAAUAAAUGUACUUGAAAUAAAAAUAAGGCAGAAAUGACGUAAGGGAAAUGUGCAAAACUGAGCAGUUUGUAAAAAAAUGAAAUGAAAUGUGUAAUAUAAAUCAACAGUACAGUAAAAGUGAAAUAACAAGCUGAAGUUCAGACCAGUUGUGAGUUAGGUUCUGAAGCAGCCAGAGA